CCUACGGGUGGCAGCAGUCGAGAAUUUUUCUCAAUGGGCGAAAGCCUGAAGGAGCGACGCCGCGUGGGGGAUGAAGGGUUUCGAUCCGUAAACCCCUGUCAUUUGCGAACAAUGGUUAUUAUUUAAAAGAUGAUGACUUGAUAGUAGCGGAAGAGGAAGGGACGGCUAACUCUGUGCCAGCAGCCGCGGUAAUACAGAGGUCCCGAGCGUUGUUCGGAUUCACUGGGCGUAAAGGGUGCGUAGGUGGUGAAGUAAGUCGGAUGUGAAAGCUCCGGGCUCAACCCGGAAAUGGCAUUGGAAACUACUUUGCUUGAGGUUUGGAGGGGGGACUGGAAUUCUCGGUGUAGCAGUGAAAUGCGUAGAUAUCGAGAGGAACACCAGUGGCGAAGGCGGGUCCCUGGACAACACCUGACACUGAGGCACGAAAGCUAGGGGAGCAA
rnacentral:rRNA from 1 species